GAUGAACGCUGGCGGCGUGCCUAAUACAUGCAAGUCGAGCGAACGGACGAGAAGCUUGCUUCUCUGAUGUUAGCGGCGGACGGGUGAGUAACACGUGGAUAACCUACCUAUAAGACUGGGAUAACUUCGGGAAACCGGAGCUAAUACCGGAUAAUAUUUUGAACCGCAUGGUUCAAAAGUGAAAGACGGUCUUGCUGUCACUUAUAGAUGGAUCCGCGCUGCAUUAGCUAGUUGGUAAGGUAACGGCUUACCAAGGCAACGAUGCAUAGCCGACCUGAGAGGGUGAUCGGCCACACUGGAACUGAGACACGGUCCAGACUCCUACGGGAGGCAGCAGUAGGGAAUCUUCCGCAAUGGGCGAAAGCCUGACGGAGCAACGCCGCGUGAGUGAUGAAGGUCUUCGGAUCGUAAAACUCUGUUAUUAGGGAAGAACAUAUGUGUAAGUAACUGUGCACAUCUUGACGGUACCAAAUCAGAAAGCCACGGCUAACUACGUG
rnacentral:rRNA from 1 species